rnacentral:piRNA from 1 species
UGACCAGGUCCGCAUAGUCGGCCAUCGC